GAUGAACGCUAGCUGGAGGCUUAAUACAUGCAAGUCGAGCGGGAUUGGUAGCAAUACCAUGAGAGCGGCGCACGGGUGAGUAACGCGUACACGACCUACCUCUGACAGGGGGAUAGCCCUGGGAAACUGGGAUUAAUACCGCAUAUUAUUCUGAUUAAUAAAGGAUUGGAAUGAAAGUUCAGGCGGUCAGAGAUGGGUGUGCGUCUGAUUAGCUAGUUGGUAGGUAACGGCCUACCAAGGCGAUGAUCAGUAGGGGCGUGAGAGCGUGGUCCCCCACACGGGUACUGAGACACGGACCCGACUCCUACGGGAGGCAGCAGUAAGGAAUAUUGGACAAUGGCCGAAAGGCUGAUCCAGCCAUCCAGCGUGCAGGAAGAAGGCCCUAUGGGUUGUAAACUGCUUUUAUCAGGGAAUAAACCUCUGGAUUCACUCCGGAGCUGAAGGUACCUGAAGAAUAAGCACCGGCUAACUCCGUAGCCAGCAGCCGCGGUAAA
rnacentral:rRNA from 1 species